UGGUCAAGUUAUUAAGGGUGCAGGGCGGAUGCCUUGGCACUAGGAGCCGAUGAAGGACGUGAUAAGCUGCGAUAAGCUUCGGGGAGUUGCACGUAAACUUUGAUCCGAAGAUUUCCGAAUGAGGAAACUCACUUAGAGUAAUGUCUAAGUAUCAUUAAGUGAAUACAUAGCUUAAUGAGGGGAACUCAGGGAACUGAAACAUCUAAGUACCUGAAGGAAGAGAAAGAAAUUCGAUUCCGUAAGUAGCGGCGAGCGAACGCGGAUUAGCCCAAACCAAUAAAGUUUUCUUUAUUGGGGUUGCGGACAUAUCAUAACGAAGAGGUAUCGUAAUUGAAGAGGUUUGGAAAGACCCACCACAGAAGGUAAUAGUCCUGUAUGUUAAACGAGAAGACUUCAGAUAUGAUCCAGAGUACCACGGGACACGUGAAACCCUGUGGGAAGCAGGAGGGACCACCCUCCAAGGCUAAAUACUACCUAGUGACCGAUAGCGUAUAGUACCGUGAGGGAAAGGUGAAAAGAACCCCGGGAGGGGAGUGAAAUAGAACCUGAAACCCUGCACUUACAAGCUGUGGAAGCACAUUUCUUGUGUGACCGCGUACUUUUUGUAGAACGGGCCAACGAGUUACGUUAAGUAGCAAGGUUAAGCACUUAAGGUGUGGAGCCGUAGCGAAAGCGAGUUUUAACUGAGCGUUCAGUUACUUGACGUAGACCCGAAACCGGGCGACCUACCCAUGAGCAGGAUGAAGCGAAAGUAAAAUUUCGUGGAGGUCCGAACCCACGAGCGUUGAAAAGCUCGGGGAUGACUUGUGGGUAGCGGUGAAAUUCCAAUCGAGCCCGGAGAUAGCUGGUUCUCCCCGAAAUAGCUUUAGGGCUAGCCUCAAGGUGAGAGAUACGGAGGUAGAGCACUGAAUGUCCUAGGGGGUAUUGCACCUACCGAAGACUAUCAAACUCCGAAUGCCGUCAUCUUAUACUUGGGAGUCAGACUGUGGGUGAUAAGAUUCAUAGUCGAAAGGGCAACAGCCCAGAUCGUCAGCUAAGGUCCCUAAAUGUAAGUUAAGUGGUAAAGGAUGUGGGAUUGCACAGACAACCAGGAUGUUGGCUUAGAAGCAGCCACUCAUUCAAAGAGUGCGUAAUAGCUCACUGGUCGAGUGAUCCUGCGCCGAAGAUUUCCGGGGCUAAAACUUACUACCGAAGCUACGGCAUCAGUAAUGAUGGGUAGGGGAGCUUCCCAUACGGGUUGAAGCAUGACCGUAAGGACAUGUGGACAGUAUGGGAGUGAGAAUGUUGGCAUGAGUAGCGAGAUGUGGGUGAGAAUCCCACAGGCCGUAAACCCAAGGUUUCCAGGGGAAGGUUCGUCCGCCCUGGGUUAGUCGGGACCUAAGCUGAGGCCGAAAGGCGUAGGUGAUGGACAACAGGUUGAUAUUCCUGUACUACCGAUAACCGUUUGAGAGAAGGGAUGACACAGUAGGAUAAGCUAAGCACACUGUUGGUUAUGUGUGCCCAAGCAUUGAGGCAGUCAAAGUAGGCAAAUCCGCUUUGAUAAUGCUGGGAUGUGAUGGGGAGCGAAAUUUAGUAGCGAAGUAGCUGAUUUCACACUGUCAAGAAAAGUCUCUAUCGAGGUUAAAGGUACCCGUACCGCAAACCGACACAGGUGGGUGAGGAGAGUAUCCUAAGGCCAGCGAGAGAACUGUUGUUAAGGAACUCGGCAAAAUGACCCCGUAACUUAGGGAUAAGGGGUGCCACCAUCAGGUGGCCGCAGAGAAUAGGCCCAAGCGACUGUUUACCAAAAACAUAGGUUUCUGCUAAGUCGCAAGACGAUGUAUAGGAGCUGACGCCUGCCCGGUGCUGGAAGGUUAAGGGGAUCUGUUAGAGCAAUCGAAGCAGUGAACUUAAGCCCCAGUAAACGGCGGCCGUAACUAUAACGGUCCUAAGGUAGCGAAAUUCCUUGUCGGGUAAGUUCCGACCCGCACGAAAGGCGUAACGAUUUGGGCACUGUCUCAACAACAGACUCGGUGAAAUUGUAAUUCCGGUGAAGAUGCCGGAUACCUGCGACAGGACGGAAAGACCCCAUGGAGCUUUACUGUAGCUUGACAUUGGGUCUUGGUACUACAUGUACAGGAUAGGUGGGAGGCUUUGAAACCAGGACGCCAGUUUUGGCGGAGCCAUCCUUGGGAUACCACCCUUGUAGUACUGGGACUCUAACCAUAGGCCAUGAAUCUGGUCUUGGGACACUGUCAGGUGGGCAGUUUGACUGGGGCGGUCGCCUCCCAAAAGGUAACGGAGGCGCUCAAAGGUUCUCUCAGUACGGUCGGAAAUCGUACGUAGAGUGUAAAGGCAAAAGAGAGCUUGAUUGCAAGACAUACAGGUCGAGCAAGGAUGAAAAUCGGACUUAGUGAUCCGGUGGUUCUGCGUGGAAGGGCCAUCGCUCAACGGAUAAAAGCUACCCUGGGGAUAACAGGCUUAUCUCCCCCAAGAGUCCACAUCGACGGGGAGGUUUGGCACCUCGAUGUCGGCUCAUCACAUCCUGGGGCUGUAGUAGGUCCCAAGGGUUGGGCUGUUCGCCCAUUAAAGUGGUACGCGAGCUGGGUUCAGAACGUCGUGAGACAGUUCGGUCCCUAUCCGUCGCAGGCGUAGGAAAUUUGAGAAGACCUGUCCUUAGUACGAGAGGACCGGGAUGGACGUACCUCUGGUGUACCAGUUGUUCUGCCAAGGGCAUGGCUGGGUAGCUAUGUACGGAAUGGAUAAGCGCUGAAAGCAUCUAAGCGCGAAGCCAACUUCAAGAUAAGAUUUCCCACCGCAAGGGUAAGACCCCAGAAAGACUAUCUGGUUGAUAGGUCGAAGGUGUAAGUGCAGCAAUGUAUUUAGCUUAUCGAUACUAAUAGGUCGAGGACUUGACCAAUAUUAUUUGAUGUUCACUU
rnacentral:rRNA from 1 species